CUGCGCUGCGGGAGGAGGAAAUGACUCUGGGUACACGUUUUUCAUGACUCACUCUGAAAAGAAGAAAAUAAGCAGCACCUCUUAUCUCAGGAUACCAAGGGCAAAAAAAGUAAUAUAGCCAUAAAUGACCACCAGGCAUGGUACUUGGGGUCAGAACAAUGUCUCAGUUGGGGAUCCAGCAGGAAACAGCAUCCUUGAAAGGAAUGACUGAAGGAUUUAACGAAGGGACUCGUUACUGCGGUGUGGACAGGUUAAGGGACUAAGGAGGGAGAGUGAGGCACUCAGGGAUUAGAAACAGCAGGAAGCUUUACUGCUUCUAGGCACGAUGAGAGCAGGGCUAGAAGUGGCGUUGUUGGAACCGGAAGCCCUGUGGUCCUGAAGAGGAGCCACCCACUGGGAGCUGUGGCCGUACACAGACAGGGCUGGAACGAGCCCCGCAGACUGCAGCAGACCGCAGUGGCUGGGCCCCAGGAAGCAGGCAAGGAUCAGCGAGGCCAAGCAAUGGUGUGGGAACAGCCACACGCAGACGUGCAAGACGCGCUGGGCUGCGACAGCGAGCGCUCCAGCAGGAGCUGGAAACCAAGGAGGGAACUGUCUGCACCUGUGCACCCACACCUUCUGAACGGGAAUUGCCAUCAACGCCGUCUCGGUCUGUUUAUAGAGGCCUCCUGCCUCCUUGGCUUGGCGGAGGAUGGAUCUGCUUCAGUUGGAACCUAAUCUUGCUCACCUCACACUUGCAACUCUCUCACUAACACCAGUGAGAAAGAAAAACUGUUUAAAUUAUGCUAAAGCCUGAAUUCAAUCCAUGGUUGUAUUAAGAAGGAAGAUUUUGAAUAUUGCUUACUGUUCCCGCAAAAAAACUUCACUACCUGCUCCCCACUCUUUCUCCAAUAAAGAAGGAUGUCUCCCCCCCUGCCCCGGCAGUUUUUAUUUUUAACAACAAAUUAAAUAGGUCCAGUUCUAGGCAAAAAAGAAUUAUAUUGUUUCUCCUUCUUCCUUCCUUCAACUCUCUGGCCCUGGUUUCUGG
rnacentral:lncRNA from 1 species